rnacentral:piRNA from 1 species
AUGUUUGAUGGAGCAGGUGCUGA